CGAUUAGUCGGUGUUAAUAUACGACCCGACUAGCAGCUUCCGGGAAACCAAAGUUUUUCGUUUCCGGGGGAAGUAUGGUUGCAAAGCUGAAACUUAAAGGAAUUGACGGAAGGGCACCACCAGGAGUGGAGCCUGCGGCUUAAUUUGACUCAACACGGGAGAACUCACCCGGCCCGGACACCGUAAGGAUUGACAGACUGAGAGCUCUUUCUUAAUUCGGUGGGUGGUGGUGCAUGGCCGUUCUUAGUUGGUGGAGCGAUUUGUCUGGUUAAUUCCGAUAACGAACGAGACUCUAGCCUGCUAAAUAGGCAGUGGAUUAUUCGUCCACUGUACUUCUUAGAGGGACAAGCAGCGUCUAGCUGCACGAGAUUGAGCAAUAACAGGUCUGUGAUGCCCUUAGAUGUUCGGGGCUGCACGCGCGCUACACUGAAGGAAUCAGCGUGCUAAAACCAUUGUCGAAAGGCAUUGGUAAACCCCUCAAAAUCCUACGUGAUUGGGAUCGGGAAUUGCAAUUAUUUCCCUUGAACGAGGAAUUCCCAGUAAGUGUGGGUCAUAAGCUCGCGUUGAUUACGUCCCUGCCCUUUGUACACACCGCCCGUCGCUGCCCGGGACUGAGCCGUUUCGAGAAAAGCGGGGACUGCUGCUGUCGGGAGUUU
rnacentral:rRNA from 1 species